UCUUGUAAAAUAUAUAAAUUGGUGCAAAAGUAAUUGACGUUUUUGCCAAAUGAACGGCAAAAACCUCACUUAAACUUUUGCACCAACCUAACACA
rnacentral:miRNA from 1 species